CGAAGUAAUCCCCCCAAGCGCAUUUAAAGCAGCAAGGCAUGUAUGGAUUCCCAAGACAAGAAAGACUCACAUGGAAGAGCUUAUGAUGAAGACAUGUGUGUGGAUUCCCAAGGCAAAGCCCUCAGUCGGUAGUCCGGUUCAGAAAUGUUUAAGUACUGGGAAGCGGGACAGUCAUGUGGACCAGUUGGCUGCUCGCUCUUGCCCCAUAGUUGUUUCAUUAAUGGCGUCAAAUUUGAAGAUCGGUCCUAGCCUUGACGAUUUGCGCGCAGAGGAUGCUUCAGAGAAUCUCCUCUCCGUCCCUGUUGUUGGAAAUUGAACCCAUGCCCCUAACCAGGGA
rnacentral:misc_RNA from 1 species